AGAUGGGAGCUUGCUCCCUGAUGUUAGCGGCGGACGGGUGAGUAACACGUGGGUAACCUGCCUGUAAGACUGGGAUAACUCCGGGAAACCGGGGCUAAUACCGGAUGGUUGUUUGAACCGCAUGGUUCAAACAUAAAAGGUGGCUUCGGCUACCACUUACAGAUGGACCCGCGGCGCAUUAGCUAGUUGGUGAGGUAACGGCUCACCAAGGCAACGAUGCGUAGCCGACCUGAGAGGGUGAUCGGCCACACUGGGACUGAGACACGGCCCAGACUCCUACGGGAGGCAGCAGUAGGGAAUCUUCCGCAAUGGACGAAAGUCUGACGGAGCAACGCCGCGUGAGUGAUGAAGGUUUUCGGAUCGUAAAGCUCUGUUGUUAGGGAAGAACAAGUACCGUUCGAAUAGGGCGGUACCUUGACGGUACCUAACCAGAAAGCCACGGCUAACUACGUGCCAGCAGCCGCGGUAAUACGUAGGUGGCAAGCGUUGUCCGGAAUUAUUGGGCGUAAAGGGCUCGCAGGCGGUUUCUUAAGUCUGAUGUGAAAGCCCCCGGCUCAACCGGGGAGGGUCAUUGGAAACUGGGGAACUUGAGUGCAGAAGAGGAGAGUGGAAUUCCACGUGUAGCGGUGAAAUGCGUAGAGAUGUGGAGGAACACCAGUGGCGAAGGCGACUCUCUGGUCUGUAACUGACGCUGAGGAGCGAAAGCGUGGGGAGCGAACAGGAUUAGAUACCCUGGUAGUCCACGCCGUAAACGAUGAGUGCUAAGUGUUAGGGGGUUUCCGCCCCUUAGUGCUGCAGCUAACGCAUUAAGCACUCCGCCUGGGGAGUACGGUCGCAAGACUGAAACUCAAAGGAAUUGACGGGGGCCCGCACAAGCGG
rnacentral:rRNA from 1 species